rnacentral:rRNA from 1 species
GAGUUUGAUCCUGGCUCAGGAUGAACGCUAGCGGCAGGCCUAACACAUGCAAGUCGAACGGUAACAGGGAAAAGCUUGCUUUUCUGCUGACGAGUGGCGCACGGGUGCGUAACGCGUAUGCAAUCUGCCUUGUACUGGAGUAUAGCCCAGGGAAACUUGGAUUAAUCCUCCAUAGUCUAUUGAAUUGGCAUCAUUUUAAUAGUAAAGGUUACGGUACAAGAUGAGCAUGCGUCCUAUUAGCUAGUAGGUGUGGUAACGGCACACCUAGGCAACGAUAGGUAGGGGUCCUGAGAGGGAGAUCCCCCACACUGGUACUGAGACACGGACCAGACUCCUACGGGAGGCAGCAGUGAGGAAUAUUGGACAAUGGGCGCAAGCCUGAUCCAGCCAUGCCGCGUGCAGGAAGACGGCCCUAUGGGUUGUAAACUGCUUUUAUAUGGGAAGAAUAAG